rnacentral:piRNA from 1 species
UAACCUAUGUUGAACUUCAGAAGGAAGA